CCUACGUGCGGCAGCAGUGGGGAAUAUUGGACAAUGGGCGAAAGCCUGAUCCAGCCAUGCCGCGUGUGUGAAGAAGGCCUUCGGGUUGUAAAGCACUUUCAGUGGGGAAGAAAGCCUUGGGGCUAAUACCCUCGAGGAAGGACAUCACCCACAGAAGAAGCACCGGCUAACUCCGUGCCAGCAGCCGCGGUAAUACGGAGGGUGCGAGCGUUAAUCGGAAUUACUGGGCGUAAAGCGCGCGUAGGCGGUCUGAUAAGCCGGUUGUGAAAGCCCCGGGCUCAACCUGGGAACGGCAUCCGGAACUGUCAGGCUAGAGUGCAGGAGAGGAAGGUAGAAUUCCCGGUGUAGCGGUGAAAUGCGUAGAGAUCGGGAGGAAUACCAGUGGCGAAGGCGGCCUUCUGGACUGACACUGACGCUGAGGUGCGAAAGCGUGGGUAGCAAACAGGAUUAGAUACCCUAGUAGUC
rnacentral:rRNA from 1 species